UCUUUGAUCAUUCAAUUUCAAAGAACGCAAAGGGAUGAAGAGCUGGCGUACCUGCUUCUGGAGUGGCGAAGAGGCUGCAACGGUGGUGGUGACUUUCGUUCAACUGCUUUCCUUUAUCUCCCCGCUGUGUGCACUGUUCUCUCUUCUUCUCAGUUCUUGAGGGACGAAGACAAUAACAAGGCUAAUUCUUGUCUCUGUGUUGCUACUCCCUUUUCUCUCCUUCUCUAUGUGAAUUUGUUCUUUUUUGUUGUCCCCUCUGGCCUCUCCCUCUUUUUUUUCCCUGUGUAUUAUUUCUUUCUCUGGGUU